GAUGAAGAACGCAGCGAAAUGCGAUAAGUAAUGUGAAUUGCAGAAUUCAGUGAAUCAUCGAGUCUUUGAACGCACAUUGCGCCCCCUGGUAUUCCGGGGGGCAUGCCUGUCCGAGCGUCAUUGCCGCCCUCAAGCACGGCUUGUGUGUUGGGCCCCCGCCCCCCGGCUUCGGGGGGCGGGCCCGAAAGGCAGCGGCGGCACCGCGUCCGGUCCUCGAGCGUAUGGGGCUUCGUCACCCGCUCUGUAGGCCCGGCCGGCGCCCGCCGGCGACCCCAAUCAAUCUUUCCAGGUUGACCUCGGAUCAGGUAGGGAUACCCGCUGAACUUAAGCAUAUCAAUAAGCGGAGGA
rnacentral:misc_RNA from 1 species